AAACAGGUUUUAUUAAAAACCACUUAGCUGGAACUAAUUAUGUUAAU
rfam:Lepisosteus oculatus linkage group LG7, whole genome shotgun sequence.